rnacentral:rRNA from 1 species
GACGAACGCUGGCGGCGUGCUUAACACAUGCAAGUCGAACGGAAAGGCCCUGCUUUUGUGGGGUGCUCGAGUGGCGAACGGGUGAGUAACACGUGAGUAACCUGCCCUUGACUUUGGGAUAACUUCAGGAAACUGGGGCUAAUACCGGAUAGGAGCUCCUGCUGCAUGGUGGGGGUUGGAAAGUUUCGGCGGUUGGGGAUGGACUCGCGGCUUAUCAGCUUGUUGGUGGGGUAGUGGCUUACCAAGGCUUUGACGGGUAGCCGGCCUGAGAGGGUGACCGGCCACAUUGGGGCUGAGAUACGGCCCAGACUCCUACGGGAGGCAGCAGUGGGGAAUAUUGCACAAUGAGCGGAAGCCUGAUGCAGCAACGCCGCGUGCGGGAUGACGGCCUUCGGGUUGUAAACCGCUUUCGCCUGUGACGAAGCGUGAGUGACGGUAAUGGGUAAAGAAGCACCGGCUAACUACGUG